rnacentral:rRNA from 1 species
UACGUAGGGUGCAAGCGUUGUCCGGAAUUUAUUGGGCGUAAAGGGCUCGUAGGCGGUCCGUCACGUCGGGGAGUGAAAACUUGGGGCUUAACCCCAAGCCUGCUUCCGAUACGGGCGGACUAGAGGUAGGCAGGGGAGAACGGAAUUCCUGGUGUAGCGGUGAAAUGCGCAGAUAUCAGGAGGAACACCGGUGGCGAAGGCGGCUUUCUGGACAAAAACUGACGCUGAGGCGCGAAAGCUAGGGGAGCAAACAGG